CCCUUAGAUGUUCUGGGCCGCACGCGCGCUACACUGACGGAGUCAACGAGUUGUCCUGCAUCGGAAGGUGUGGGUAAUCUUUUGAAACUUCGUCGUGCUGGGGAUAGAUCUUUGCAAUUUUCGAUCUUGAACGAGGAAUUCCUAGUAAGCGUGAUUCAUCAGAUCGCGUUGAUUACGUCCCUGCCCUUUGUACACACCGCCCGUCGCUCCUACCGAUUGAAUGGUCCGGUGAAAUGUUCGGACCGCGACAAGGCGGACGGUUCGCUGUCAGCUUUGCUGCGGGAAGUUCAUUAAACCUUAUCAUUUAGAGGAAGGAGAANUCGUANCA
rnacentral:rRNA from 1 species